AACGCUAGCUACAGGCUUAACACAUGCAAGUCGAGGGGCAGCAUUUUUAUAGCAAUAUAAAAGAUGGCGACCGGCGCACGGGUGAGUAACACGUAUCCAACCUGCCGAUAACUCGGGGAUAACCCUUCGAAAGAAGGCCUAAUACCCGAUGGCAUAUCCCUUCCGCCUGGUUGGGAUAUUAAAGAACUUCGGUUAUCGAUGGGGAUGCGUUCCAUUAGCUUGUUGGCGGGGUAACGGCCCACCAAGGCUUCGAUGGAUAGGGGUUCUGAGAGGAAGGUCCCCCACAUUGGAACUGAGACACGGUCCAAACUCCUACGGGAGGCAGCAGUGAGGAAUAUUGGUCAAUGGACGAGAGUCUGAACCAGCCAAGUAGCGUGAAGGAUGAAGGUCCUAUGGAUUGUAAACUUCUUUUAUACGGGAAUGAAGUGCAGUAUGCAUACUGUUUUGUAUGUACCGUAUGAAUAAGGAUCGGCUAACUCCGUGCCAGCAGCCGCGGUAAUACGGAGGAUCCGAGCGUUAUCCGGAUUUAUUGGGUUUAAAGGGUGCGUAGGUGGUUUGAUAAGUCAGCGGUGAAAGUUUGCAGCUUAACUGUAAAAAUGCCGUUGAAACUGUCGGACUUGAGUGUAAAUGAGGUAGGCGGAAUGCGUGGUGUAGCGGUGAAAUGCAUAGAUAUCACGAAGAACUCCGAUUG
rnacentral:rRNA from 1 species